rnacentral:rRNA from 1 species
CAGUCGAGCGGACAGAUGGGAGCUUGCUCCCUGAUGUUAGCGGCGGACGGGUGAGUAACACGUGGGUAACCUGCCUGUAAGACUGGGAUAACUCCGGGAAACCGGGGCUAAUACCGGAUGGUUGUUUGAACCGCAUGGUUCAGACAUAAAAGGUGGCUUCGGCUACCACUUACAGAUGGACCCGCGGCGCAUUAGCUAGUUGGUGAGGUAACGGCUCACCAAGGCGACGAUGCGUAGCCGACCUGAGAGGGUGAUCGGCCACACUGGGACUGAGACACGGCCCAGACUCCUACGGGAGGCAGCAGUAGGGAAUCUUCCGCAAUGGACGAAAGUCUGACGGAGCAACGCCGCGUGAGUGAUGAAGGUUUUCGGAUCGUAAAGCUCUGUUGUUAGGGAAGAACAAGUGCCGUUCAAAUAGGGCGGCACCUUGACGGUACCUAACCAGAAAGCCACGGCUAACUACGUGCCAGCAGCCGCGGUAAUACGUAGGUGGCAAGCGUUGUCCGGAAUUAUUGGGCGUAAAGGGCUCGCAGGCGGUUUCUUAAGUCUGAUGUGAAAGCCCCCGGCUCAACCGGGGAGGGUCAUUGGAAACUGGGGAACUUGAGUGCAGAAGAGGAGAGUGGAAUUCCACGUGUAGCGGUGAAAUGCGUAGAGAUGUGGAGGAACACCAGUGGCGAAGGCGACUCUCUGGUCUGUAACUGACGCUGAGGAGCGAAAGCGUGGGGAGCGAACAGGAUUAGAUACCCUGGUAGUCCACGCCGUAAACGAUGAGUGCUAAGUGUUAGGGGGUUUCCGCCCCUUAGUGCUGCAGCUAACGCAUUAAGCACUCCGCCUGGGGGAGUA